GCUCAAAUUUGAAAUCUAGUAGCCUUCGGCUGCUCGAGUAGAAAUCUAGAGAAGUGUUUUCCGUGCCGGCCCAUGUACAAGUCCCUUGGAACAGGGCGUCAUAGAGGGUGAGAAUCCCGUCCUUGACAUGGACCCCCGGUGCUCUGUGAUACACUUUCAACGAGUCGAGUUGUUUGGGAAUGCAGCUCAAAAUGGGUGGUGAAUUCCAUCUAAAGCUAAAUAUUGGCGAGAGACCGAUAGCGAACAAGUACCGUGAGGGAAAGAUGAAAAGCACUUUGGAAAGAGAGUUAAACAGUACGUGAAAUUGUUGAAAGGGAAACGAUUGAAGUCAGUCAUGCUCUUUGGUAUUUAUAUCAUUGAGUGGGGUCAACAUCAGUUUUGAGCGAUGGAUAAAGGCACUAGGAAGGUAGCACUCUCGGGUGAACUUAUAGCCUAGCGUCAUAUACAUUGUUUGGGACUGAGGAACGCAGCAUGCCUUUAUGGCCGGGAUUCGUCCACGUACAUGCUUAGGAUGUUGACAUAAUGGCUUUAAACGACCCGUCUUGAAACACGGA
rnacentral:rRNA from 1 species